rnacentral:rRNA from 1 species
GACGAACGCUGGCGGCGUGCUUAACACAUGCAAGUCGAACGGAAAGGCCCUGCUUUUGUGGGGUGCUCGAGUGGCGAACGGGUGAGUAACACGUGAGUAACCUGCCCUUGACUUUGGGAUAACUUCAGGAAACUGGGGCUAAUACCGGAUAGGAGCUCAUGCUGCAUGGUGGGGGUUGGAAAGUUUCGGCGGGUGGGGAUGGACUCGCGGCUUAUCAGCUUGUUGGUGGGGGAGUGGCUUACCAAGGAUUUGACGGGUAGCCGGCCUGAGAGGGUGACCGGCCACAUUGGGACUGAGAUACGGCCCAGACUCCUACGGUAGGCAGCAGUGGGAAAUCUUGCACAGUGGGCGCAAGCCUGAUGCAGCAACGCCGCGUUCGUGAUGACGGCCUUCUGGUUGUAAACCGCUUUCGCCUGUGACGAAGCGUGAGUGACGGUAAUGGGUAAAGAAGCACCGGCUAACUACGUG